GGGUGUUUAGUUCUCCCGGCCGUGCAGAUUGAGCUUUGCGAAGAGGUCUUGCUUCUACCAAGCAGCGUAUCGCUCACGUUAAUGACCGAAACCAUUAACCAAAAAAAACCCAACCCCAAAAACCAAUCCCCCAAAAAACAGGCGGUAAAAUGAACCCCGAUUUGCAGUAUUCCUGCUCAAACUAUCCUACCAGAAUUCUUUCUUACCAUAACUUAAUCUAAAUGUAAUGCCUUUGCUCCCCAAACCAUCGCAGUUAUUAACUGUGACUCUUGCGAUGGGCUCUGUGUGCAAUAGACGACUCUGCCAACAUACGCUUACAAAUCUGCUGCGGUCGCUGCCCCGUGUCUGGAAGGCAGAAGCGUGAUCUGGCUGGAGAUUUUAAUUCACCGGCGGGGGGGGGGUGGGGGGUGGGUGGGAUUAAAAGAAUUUUGAGGACAGAAAACCUCAAAGUGUUUAUGAAAAACAGAGAUUCAUUACUGAGGCAGCUGAUGUCUAGCCUGAGAUGUGUUUGUGUUCUAAUGGACUUCAUUUUAAUGGUGGCUGUAAGGGAAUGAGGCGGACAGCUGAUUUCAUCAUAAAAGCUUCAGUAAAUUUGCUCUGUGCAUCUCCUGUAUCAGUUGUGUAGGAGGACAUUACUCAGUUGUGUCAACUUGGCAAAUACCAAAAUAAAUAAGAAAAAUAAAACCAAAA